UUGCUUAAACCUUUUUAACUUUAUUGGGAUUAUUUUACAAAAAUAGCUUCAUGUUGUAUAAUGACUUGAAACUAAGAUCAAAAACACAUCAGGAAAGUAUUCAAGUGAGAAUUUGAGGUUUUCUUGUAAACUUUUAUACAAGCAUAUUUGUUUUUGCAACCAGAGAAGUCUGCCCCUGGUGGCCAUUAGAAAGAAUGCAUUUCCGCAUUGGCCUCACUGAAGCUGUCUGUCAAGGUCAGUCAUUCCCAAAAUAAUUUGACUUUAAAGUCAAAUAGAUUUCUAUUUUCUAUUCAGUUUUUCUUUUAGAAUCACAAAGGAUGCUUUGGUUUUGUUUUUUGUUAUUUAGACUAAAAUUUUAAAAUCUUUACAUUUAAAAAGAAACAACUAAUGAAACGAGGCUGAAUUGUUAAUUUAAUGAAGUGAUGAAUAGGAUUCAACAAAUAAAACAAAAGAUUAAAAAAAAAAGACUGAAAACACACAAAGAAUAAGGAACACAACAAAAGCAAACAGAGCAGCUUCAGAAAACAUUUUCUUUUAUAUCUAACAUGUAAAAAACCAGCAGGAGUGGUCGUCGAGCAGAAAAACCAAAACAAAGAGCUAAUAGACACCAAACCUCAGGAAACCUUUCACGUCAGCUUUGUUUCAUCUCUCGUUUAAAGCUUUUCCACACGAAUCGCUGAACUCGAGCUCAAUCAGAAAAAUCAAACGCUUGAGGACACUUUAAAAACUCCCCACACAUUCACUCUUUAAUUUACAACAAUAACACAGACUGUACAGUCAACUUUACUGCAGGCAGAGCUGUAAACACAGCGUCAAACGCUCAUCGAGGUGUCGUCACCAAACAACCUUCAUCUGAUCAGAGACGUUCACACAUGAAGUGCCUGCUUUUUUCCUCCAUGCAUGCAACACAUACCUGUGGACGUGUACGUAUGUUAACAGAAGUACGUUUUUUUUUUGUUUUUUUUUAUGCUUGUAGUUAAUAACACUACAAAACCAGAGUCCCACAGUGCUAUGACGUCACGUGUUAAUACAUAAAGAGUGUAACGGUGUGAAGGUGGAUCCAGAGCUUUAACAAACAGGAUUUACCUCCCGAGUCCGCCACAUACAUGUGCUGCUGUGUGUGUGCAUGUGUUUCAGUCACUUCCUAUGACACACAGAGGACGCCGGCUCCCAGCGUGCUGAAGGUCAUCCAGAGUGUGCUUCUUCCACAGGAGCUGGCCGACCUCCACCUUCAAUUCAUGUCCAGAAUGGACUGUCUGCCACCUGCGGAAAAAAAAAAAAAAAAAAGCUCAAUCUGCUGAUUCCCGAGUGAUUUUUAGUUGUGGUUUGUGGUUAUCAUAAAGGACAUGAUGUGAAGGCUGAGAGUCUGGCAGCACUGCCGAGGUCUUCCUCAUUAUCACCAUUUUUGUUUGUUUUCUAAAUGAUUUCUGUCCUUGAAGACAACCUGAAGGUUUUUCUAAAAUCUAAAAGACUCUUAUUAAGCUGGAAUAAAACAUUAGAAAAUAUGGAGCAUUAAUAACACCUGCUAGCUGGUAUCAAUACAUGUUAACAGCAGUAUUAACACAGGCUAAAUGAGCCUGUGUUAAUUUAUUCCUUACGGUUUAAGCCCAGUUUUCUACACCAGCAUUUCUUUAUCGUGUAGAAAACCCGAGACACACUGGUUAAAUUGCGCUUCUUUAUCUUAUAUUAAGAUAUCUCAGAGAUUAAAUGUGUAGUUAAACUUGUUCACAGUGACAGAAACUGGAGUCCAGCCCACAUAAGCUCAGAGUGGGCUGUUUGUGGCCUGUGAUGUAAAAUUAGUUUGACAUCCCCGCGAUGAAAUGCUUUAUCACAGG
ensembl:lncRNA